GAUGAACGCUGGCGGCGUGCCUAAUACAUGCAAGUCGAACGGGAGACCUCAUUUCGAUGGGGUUGAGAGUGGCGCACGGGUGAGGAACACAUGGCUGACCUGCCCUUCAGAGGGGGAUAACGGCUGGAAACGGCUGCUAAUACCCCAUACGCUCCUUGGGAUUAGAGGCCUGAGGAGGAAAGCCUUCGGGUGCUGAAGGAGGGGGCUGUGGCCCAUCAGCUUGUUGGUAGGGUAACGGCCUACCAAGGCGACGACGGGUAGGGGGCCUGAGAGGGUGACCCCCCACACUGGGACUGAGACACGGCCCAGACUCCUACGGGAGGCAGCAGUUGGGAAUCUUAGGCAAUGGACGAAAGUCUGACCUAGCGACGCCGCGUGAGGGAAGAAGGCCUUCGGGUUGUAAACCUCUGUCAUGGGGGAAGAAGUAAGUGACGGUACCCCAAGAGGAAGCCCCUGCUAACUACGUG
rnacentral:rRNA from 1 species